UUUAAUAUAGAACAUCCCAGAUGAGUGAUUAUGUCCUUCUAUGUAUGAAUACACUAUACAGUUUUCAGUUAAUGUGCUAUUGAAAACGGAAUAUACAUGAGCACCAAAAAGCAAUGCUUUUAAUGAUAUAUGUUUAAAAAUGAAAUUUCAAUUUCAAUUUUAAAUCUCUAUGUAAAUAUUUUUCUUCUUUAUGUUCUGUGAUUCACCCAUGUGGAGCUAUCCUGCAUCUGUACAUACCUUUCUGAAGGGUUUUUCCAAUAGCCCAUACCAGAACACUUUUUGGCUCAACCCUCACUCAGUUCCCUUUUGUCCAUUCCAUCAGAAGUGCUUAAUGAGCUAUUUCUCGAUCUCCCUUCUAUGUUUUGGUUCUCACAAGUACCCUGGUUGUCUCUGGACCAUUUGACAAGUCUUCUGCCUACUGGACUGGAUUUGUUUUCCCUUGGCAGGGCCAACAAAAAAUUUAAAAAACAUACUUAAAAUGUUCUGAGUGUGCCAGUAAGAUCCUUGAUAAAGAUGGCCAUUCUAAAUGCCUACUUUGUCUCAGUGAGGAACAUGGUGUUCAGUCGUGCCUUCACUGUCAGGCCUUUACCCCUCAGGGAAGAGGAAUAGAGAGGCACAGCUUAAAGAUCUCUUUAAAUGAGAGCACUUUAAGUGCAGCCACAGAACAGGCUGCUCAAGUACCAAGCAAGAAGUCUCAGGAUCCACUCUGGUUGCUAUUUCACAUCCUCCUAUUCUACCUCAGGCAUCAUUGCUUCCUUGUAGGAGGUUAAGCUCAAGCAGGGCCAUCAACAUCACUCCUUAUUUCAGAUACACAUCAGGCCUUUGGAUUUUAAGGGUCAGUGUCAAAGAUCUGCUCUCCACUGAGAAUUUGUCCCUAGUACUGAUGAGCCUUUUUCACCUUGACUUCAUGGCAUUCCCAGGUCACCAUAACCUACUCCUAUUGCUAAAAUGAGGAUAUUCUACAACCUCACCAGACAGGCAAAUUUUCCCGUUCUACAACACUUUGACCUCACUUGAGGCACAGAACCUUCUGGAUCCCAUCAUACGUCAAUCUACGUCUGGCAGGACUUCAUGUCUCAAGUGAAGUUAAAGUGUUGUAAGAGGCAGUGGUAGCAACAUGGGAGGCUUCCCGAGUUGCAUAGGAAACAAUGGGGAAAGCCAGGCAGCAAUGGGGGCGCAGGGUGAUGGGUUCCCCAUGCCCCUAACUGGGCCCCACCAGAUUCGCCACAAUCCAUGGUAAAUCCCCCCCCCCCCAAUGUGAUGAGUUCUCUCAUGCUAAUGCGUUAAGUUAGUUACCCUGUGUUUGCAAGUCUUCUUAUGACAUUAAUCUAUAACCAUUUACAAUGGCAUACUGCUACUAUUGAAUGGUUUAAACCUAUUUUAAGUUGUUAAACACUUCCAGCAUAAACAUUUUCCAAGCUAACAAAGUGUUUUCUCAAAAUUCAUUGGCAUUAUUCCUAUUUGCACAGUCCUUAUUACUUAAAUAUUCCUGCAUGACAAGGGGUUGAACUAGCUGGCCCUUGUGAUCUCUUCCAACUCUGUGAUUCUAAGUAGGCCAUAUCUGGGGCAAUGACUAUGCGUUUUCAGGCUCCUUAGAAGUGUUUGAUGAGAGUAGGAGAUAUAUCCUCCAAUGUCUAUUCCAUCUAUAAGUAAAAGUUGUCACUGUAUGCAGAGUUCCUAAAGGAAAGGCCACUGUACUCACUCAGCUCAAAAUACAGCAUGACCCAGAAAUGGAAUUACAGAACAGAUAUCCUGGUAGCUCUUAAACAUUCACUGUAUACGUAUUAUCUAUAGCUUGAUUUAAAAGUAGCACAAUUUGUUAGCUGAGGUAAUACAAGGACAGAGUUUAAAUGUAAGGGCAGCAUCUCUAGUGAUGAAAAUUUUGAAACCCCACAGACCAGAACUCGUUUUGAGUUAUCUCUUACAAUUACAAGCAAUUAAUUUUAAAUGUAGAAAAAAAUAGUGAAUUAUUCACAACAAUUUGUGGGAUGAACUAAAAAGUUGAAUUUACCAGUUGGAGUGGAUUUCUUAAAAUGUUAUCUUCCCUGUCCCUCAACAGUGUUUGUAGCAUGCUACUAUUUUAUUUUCAUUUUAUUAAAGAAACUUAAAUGCCAGUUUCUGCUUUAACAACCAAGUCCUGACUCUCUCUGCGUUAGAUUGAAAGUUGAAAAAAAAACUCCUAUAAAAAGGAGAUCAUCUUCCUUUAAUAGAAAAGACUGCAAUUUGUAGGAAGCAGAAGGGGGUAAUUUUGCCACCACUCACACUAUUCCAUAGUGUCCCCCAAACUUGAGGACUAAACUUUGAAGAGCAUGAGAAAUCACAAGGGGAGAGAGCAAUCAGUAAUAAUGACCUUAUAGUUACUCUGGAAUCGAGCCAAUGUAUUUGCUCGUGGUUUACUAAAUAUCUAAUUGCUGCUGAAUUACAAAAGGCAUGUGUUAUUGAGCUGGAAGUAUCCUGCAUCUGGGCAAGCUAAAUCUGUGUUCUAUCAUUCUUGUGAAAUAUUCUUGAGUAGGAUCUAUUUUAGCAGGAGACAAGAGAACAGUCUUUUCCUAUUUUUAUCAUGCUUCUAAUAUGAGGAAAAGCUUUCAAAGUUUCUGCCAGUUGACCUGAAUGUCUGUCCAAAGUGCUAAACAAUGCGGGGUCACAACUGUUCCAGAUUAUUUAUAACUGACUUCUGAGCUGUCAGAGCUUUCAAAAUAAAGCUUGCAGCAUGAUUAUUGUAAACUCUGCGUCUCAGGUAAGCUUGAAAUAGGUACUUAAUUGACAUUGUUGAACUAUUUUCUCUGUUUCUAGAAUGUUUAGUGCUUGUAUACAUGUUUAUGUUGUUCUUUAUAAACAUCCCUUUAUGACUUUAACCCUUCCAGAACACUAUUCUCACUCAUCUUGAUAUCAGGCUGUUUUUUAAAAAUUAAUCUCUAUGUUUUCUGAGAUCAAACAAUAUACUAAAUUGCUAAAAGCUGUGUGUGUGUGUGUGUGUGUGUGUGUGUGUGUGUGUGUGUGAGAGAGAGAGAGAGAGAGAGAGAGAGAGAGAGAGAGAGAGAGAGAGAGAGGCUUAUAUGUAUUUGUGCCAUAUAAGAGUUUCCAUCAACUAUACAGCUUCUGUGGUGCAACACUAUAAGAAUAUUCUUAACGUAUUUGUAUUUUGUAUUGUGUAUUAAAAGUGCAGUUCUCCUCAGUUAUUUCACAUCAAAUGUUGGAAUACUUCCUUAUAUGAAAGUCCUUAGAUGCCAGAAAAAUCUUUCUCUUACUGGUGCUACAUAAUACAGCAAGAUUUUGUGGUAGGCUGGGACCAGAAGUAAAGUAAUCUAAUGGUGUUUGGUUGUAUCCACAGCUUCAGGUAAUCACAGUCCAGCUAGGAAUGUAUCCCUGCAAAUGCAUGGGUCUUACUAUCUUAGAAAGUUUCUCUUGCAAAUUUAGCAUAGGAAUAAAUAAGACAUUUUCCUAAGGAUUAUUUCAAAGAUUGGAAAACAUUUAUGUAUUUUUUGAGCAAGAAGAAAUAGAACAAUAUAACAAGUUAUGGUUGUGGUUAUUAAUCAUUUUAUUUAAUUGGAUCUGUAAUGGUGGGAUUUUUUUCAGUCAAAGUUGGAAGGGCUGGAGUCUUAAUAUUAUUAUAUAUAUUAGCUGUAUAUCUUUUUUCUUUUCUAUUUCUUUUCUCUUUUCUUAUUUUUGAAUUCAUAUAAUUAUGUUCUAAAAUAAUUUUAAAAUUAAUUGUACAAAAUAAAACAAUUAUUUUGCUCAAGCAAACACAAUAUUAAGUGAAGAAUAUCCCCUAGAGUCUAAAAAUAAUGUAAAAAUAGAUUUGUACUAUUAAGCAUAGUUGAUCAAGAACUAGAAGAACUCUGGACUGAAACCAAGAACAUUGUGAGGAAGAGAUGUAAAAAUUCACUAUCUGUAGCUAUGAAGAAGAAGCCUUAGUGGAUGACAAAAGAAACUCUUCAAGCAGUUAAGGACAUAUAAGAAACAAAGAAAAAGAAGACAGAAAUGGGGUCAACCCCCUGAAUGCAACUGUUCGCCAGUUUGUAUGUAUGGAGAAGGUGAACUAUUAUAAAUAAUCAUGGCAGAAAAAUAGAAGGAGACCGUGAAAAAGGAAGAACGAGAAAGCUCUUCCACAAGAUCCAGGAAA